GUGGACAGCGUGCCCCUCAUCUGUGACUACGGCUCUGGCUUCAGCAAGGUGGGAUUUGCAGGAAUGGAAAGCCCAAUGGGCGUGUUCCCCACUGUCCUCGGGAAACUUCGGCACGAUAAUGUAUUGCUGGGGAUGGAAGAGGAAGACUAGUUCAUUGGAGAGGAGGUUCAGAAAAAGCGAGGGAAACUCAACCUGCAAUACCCCAUUUCUUGGGCAACAACAACCAACUGGGACAACAUGGAGAAGAUUUGGCAUCACUCCUUCUACCAGGUGCUCCACAUCGCCCCAGAGCAGCACCCCAUGUUGGUGAUGGAGCCGCCUUUGAACCCAACACCCAGCAAAGAGAAAGUCACACAGGUGCUGUUUGAGACUUUCAACAUACCUGUCCUGUAUUUAGCUAACCAAGGAGUCCUUUCUCUGUAUGCCUCUGGCCAGACCUCCGGCAUGACUGUUGAAUCUGGAGAAGGAAUGACACACUUCGUGCCCAUCGCUGAUGGCUGUCCUUUGCAUCAGUCAACCUUCCAGGUGGACAUAGUGGGCCAGGACCUAACCUCGUACCUCCUGCAACUGUUGAAAGACAAUGUGCAAUUAUUGGUGGGCACAGGGGAUCGAGAGUACAUCCAGGACAUGAAGGAGAAAUGCUGCUAUGUGGCUUUGGACUUUGACAAGGAAAAGAUGAAAACCGAUUCACCUUCCCACCAACAGAAAUAUCAGCUGCCUGACGGCCAAGAGAUCACCGUUGGGCAGGAGAGUUCUUCUGCCCCGAGGUGCUCUUCCAGUCAAAACUCAUAGGUGAAUCCGCAGGCAUCCACACGAUGGCCAUCCAGAGCAUCACUUCCUGCAACCCCGACCUCCAGAAGGUUCUCUUUGGCCACAUGCUACUGUCCGGAGGGACGGGCUCCUGCCCCGGCUUGCGAUUCCGGAUGCAGAGAGAAAUAUCUGAGCUGGUGUCCCCUACAGUUUAUGUGAAGGUGGCCACCUGUCUGUAUUCUGUCUAUGGAGCUUGGGUAGGUGGCUCCACCUUGUGCUCACUCUCCACGUUCAAGGAUAUGUGGGUCACCAGCAAGGAGUACAAGGAGAUGGGCUCUUCCAUCAUCAGUAGAAAAAGCUUCUGA
rnacentral:sRNA from 1 species